CUUUCGAAACUUAAAAUCUUUUUGUUUUUUUCAUAUUCAUUAACAUCAAUGUUGAGAUGAUAAAGUAGAUAGUUUUUCAACAUUAAAACAAUCUUUCCGAUAGAUUUUGAGGCGUAUCUGUUAUUCUAGAUUUUAAGGUUACAACCUUAUAUAAACUUUUUCCAAUUUUUAAUGACUAAUUAAGUGAAAGAAACAUUCAAUUGGAGAGAAAAUGAAUGUCCAAAUGAGAAGAUGUGGGUGGGUGG
rnacentral:lncRNA from 1 species